AGAGUUUGAUCCUGGCUCAGGAUGAACGCUAGCGGCAGGCUUAACACAUGUAAGUCGAGGGUAACAGGGGUUGCUUGCAACCCGCUGACGACCGGCGCACGGGUGCGUAACGCGUAUGCAACCUACCUUCUACAGGGGGAUAGUCAAUAGAAAUGUUGAAUAAUACCCCAUACGAUCAUUAAUCUGCAUGGAUUGAUGAGGAAAGUUCCGGCGGUAGAAGAUGGGCAUGCGUCCUAUUAGUUAGUUGGUAAGGUAACGGCUUACCAAGACGUCGAUAGGUAGGGGUCCUGAGAGGGAGAUCCCCCACACUGGUACUGAGACACGGACCAGACUCCUACGGGAGGCAGCAGUGAGGAAUAUUGGACAAUGGAGGCAACUCUGAUCCAGCCAUGCCGCGUGCAGGAAGACGGCCCUAUGGGUUGUAAACUGCUUUUAUACAGGAAGAAUGGUACCUACGUGUAGGUAUUUGACGGUACUGUACGAAUAAGGAUCGGCUAACUCCGUGCCAGCAGCCGCGGUAAUACGGAGGAUCCAAGCGUUAUCCGGAAUCAUUGGGUUUAAAGGGUCCGUAGGCGGUCUGAUAAGUCAGAGGUGAAAUCCUGCAGCUCAACUGUAGCAUUGCCUUUGAUACUGUUAGACUUGAGUUAUUGUGAAGUAGUUAGAAUGUGUGGUGUAGCGGUGAAAUGCAUAGAUAUCACACAGAAUACCGAUUGCGAAGGCAGAUUACUAACAAUACACUGACGCUGAGGGACGAAAGCGUGGGUAGCGAACAGGAUUAGAUACCCUGGUAGUCCACGCCGUAAACGAUGGAUACUAGCUGUUCGACCAACAUGGGUUGGUUGAGUGGCUAAGCGAAAGUGAUAAGUAUCCCACCUGGGGAGUACGCUCGCAAGAGUGAAACUUAAAGGAAUUGACGG
rnacentral:rRNA from 1 species